rnacentral:rRNA from 1 species
CAGCCGCCACGGUAAUACGAAGGGGGAUAGCGUUGUUCGGAAUCACUGGGCGUAAAGGGUGCGUAGGCGGAUUCUUAAGUCAGGGGUGAAAUCCCGAGGCUCAACCUCGGAACUGCCUUUGAUACUGGGGAUCUUGAGUCCGGAAGAGGUGAGUGGAACUGCGAGUGUAGAGGUGAAAUUCGUAGAUAUUCGCAAGAACACCGGUGGCGAAGGCGGCUCACUGGUCCGGAACUGACGCUGAGGCACGACAGCGUGGGGAGCAAACAGGAUUAGAUACCCCUGUAGUCCCUGUCUCUUAUAC